GAAUACAGAUGCCUGUCGAGCUUGCUCACAGGCUUUCUAUCAUAUCCAUAACACCUGUGCACUUGUUGGAUGUUCUAGAGACUUAGGGUUAAACCUGCAGUCAAUAGUCAUCCACUUACACUAAACAAUUUGUAACAAAUGUAGUCUUAUUAUAAUUAAUAAAACUUUUAACAACGGAUCUCUUGGCUCU
rnacentral:misc_RNA from 1 species